CCCGGGGCAAGGAGAGCGGAAGUGAAGCAGACAGAUUGCACCUAAUUAUAAUGUGAUAGCGAGUCAGCGGAAUUUGGAGCAAUUAGGCCCCUCAUCUUCCUGGGGGUUCCUAGCUCGGGGUUUCUGGUGACCUGUAGGAGACCCUUCCUGCUUCUUCCUACUAGGAUUAGGGGGUGGCGCUUCCCAGGUUACGAAGCGAACUUCGGCCGGCCGGAGAAUUCACUCUGUGAGCUCCCCUUUAAUGCGCUCUCGAGCCCGGAUUUAUCCCAGCCCCACGCAGCCCAGGUGAGCCCUCAGAGAGAAGGAUCAAGAAUGACACACCCCAAAGGUGUGCUCUGAAGUGAGCAUUUCUGUGACCCCUGCCCAGCAAGAGCUCACCCUGAACCAGAAGGGAAUGAAAUUCCACCAGAGCGCACAGGAUGAGAUGAGCUGGAAGAAGGAGGGAGAGGGCACCAAGCUGGUGCAGUUAGCUGGAGAGAGACUCAGCAUGAAAGCUGUAACCUUUCCGUGUUUGGUGUUUGGUAGCUGUCUCAGGUCUCUCCUGUUCUCUGGUAUCCAACACCUUUGGGGUUUGUUACCCCCAAUAUGUUAAAAUCCAAAUUGGUAGGUAGCAGUUCCUUUUGUAAAAUAGAUUUUAAAUACCUGAUGCAAUGUUUAUUUCACUAUUGGUUAUUUUGUCCAGGGAUUUUAUUUACUUGUUUUCUGUUAAUGCUGAUUUUCAAAAAUAUUGUAUGAAAAUAGUAUGCUUUCUUGCUUGCUGAUUUUGCAUUUGCUUAAUUUUGUAGCUUAAGUAAAUGCUUCACUCUUACAAUUACUCCAGUACUCUGACCCCUGAAGUUGGUAAUGUGCUCCAAAGACCAG
rnacentral:lncRNA from 1 species